UGAUUGAUCUGAAAUUUUCAAGAUACAAAUCUCUAAGUGGUCGGAGCUUCUACAAUCCAAGUGCUGUCUGGGAUAUCUACGAAAAGCUAAUGAAGACCGAUCCAGUGCAUGUAAGAUCUGAGUACAGAUCUGGUUUUUUUGUGCGCAAAUGUGUAGUGAAGAUCGAUCCAAACCCGACCCAUUAGAGAUGUGCGCAAAUUGAUUAUUUCAAAGCUGUCAUAACCAAUGUGAAUGUUGAUGAGAAUCCUUACACAGCUGGCUGAAGACAAAGUCCCCUUGAAAGGUAAUUUUUUGCAAUCAAGUAUUUUGAUUUUACCAUAUAAAAUCACUGAAGUAUUUGAAGCUAAUUUUUUCUUCUAUUUGUUAGUAGGCCAUUCAAUUUUGGAUUGAAAAUAUAUCAACCUUAACCGUAUAUAACACUGUUAAAGUUUCAAAAAAUCCAGAGACAUGACAAUGGUUGUGUGAAGGUAUACACUAUAAAUGAAGACAGAUAUUUGAAAGGUAAGUAUUUUCCCAUUCUUGUUGAUGUAGAAACAAUU